CCAAAGUCCAACCCUAGCCGUAAAUGCCUCUCUCUCUCUCUCUCUCUCUCUCUCUCUUCCAUUCUCCUUCCUCCUCUUCUUCUUCCUUCUUCUCUCAUUUUCGCUCUCAGCUCAGUAGCAACGACGGCUACGUUCCUCCUGCCAGUGGCUUAAUCAGAAAUGGGAUUUCAAUUUGGAUGAUUAGAUAUGAGAUGGGUAAAGAGGAAACAAGAGGAAGAAGAAGCAAAGAGGUUGAUUUGGUGCUGAUGGGUGGGAAUUUGAAGAUGCAGAGCCACCACUUUGUGGCUGUGAGGUUGAAUGACCAAACGGGGACUAUCUUGGGUUUUGUUGUAUAUCUUGAAGGGAAGAUCUAAUGGAGAAGAUUAAAGAAUGUGUUGUUGAUUUAGGAGCAGCGAAGAUUAAAGAGUCGUGAAGUAUUCCUGAAAAAUAUGGAGCAGUUGAAUGUUAUUUUUCAGCAAUUUAGUUGUAAUUAAAUAUGAUUUAUUAUGUAUUUGUUUGUUGUUGGUAGGGGUGGGCACGGUCCGGUUUGGUCCGGUUUCACCCUCAAACCACAGCUGAACCAAUUAAACUUUCACGGUUCGGUGUGAUUUGAUUUGAGUUAAAAUCAAAAUGAAAAUCAAACCAAACCAAACAAUUCAUAUCCGGUUUGGUGCGGUUUGGUUCGGCCGGUUUAGCUA